UACAGAGGUCUCAAGCGUUGUUCGGAUUCAUUGGGCGUAAAGGGUGCGUAGGCGGCGCGGUAAGUCGGGUGUGAAAUCUCGGAGCUUAACUGCAGAACUGCCAUGGAUACUAUUUAUCUUGAAUGUCGUGGAGGUUAGCAGAAUAUGUCAUGUAGCGGUGAAAUGCUUAGAUAUGACAUAGAAUACCCAUUGCGAAGGCAGCUAACUACGCGAUAAUUGACGCUGAUGCACGAAAGCGUGGGGAUCAAACAGG
rnacentral:rRNA from 1 species